rnacentral:rRNA from 1 species
UACGUAGGGGGCAAGCGUUGUUCGGAAUUACUGGGCGUAAAGGGCGCGUAGGCGGCACGGCAAGUCGGGAGUGAAAGCCCGGGGCUCAACCCCGGAGGGUCUUCCGAAACUGCCGAGCUAGAGUGCGGAAGAGGCAACCGGAAUUCCCAGUGUAGCGGUGAAAUGCGUAGAUAUUGGGAAGAACACCGGAGGCGAAGGCGGGUUGCUGGGCCGACACUGACGCUGAGGCGCGAAAGCCAGGGGAGCAAAAGGG